CCGGCACGGGAGAGUAACACGUAUCCAACCUGCCGUCUACUCUUGGCCAGCCUUCUGAAAGGAAGAUUAAUCCAGGAUGGCAUCAUGAGUUCACAUGUCCGCAUGAUUAAAGGUAUUUUCCGGUAGACGAUGGGGAUGCGUUCCAUUAGAUAGUAGGCGGGGUAACGGCCCACCUAGUCAACGAUGGAUAGGGGUUCUGAGAGGAAGGUCCCCCACAUUGGAACUGAGACACGGUCCAA
rnacentral:rRNA from 1 species